rnacentral:rRNA from 1 species
AGGUACUAAUGAACUAGAGUUUUAUGCGAGAAGGGGAGUACUAAAGARUGAAGAGAUGAAAUUCUGUCAUACCUGCCUUGGAACAGGCAACGGCGAAAGCAACCUUUUAUGUAAAAACUGACGUUGAAAGACGAAGGCCUUGGGACACCMACAGGRUUAGAUACCCCAGCAGUCCAGGCAGACAAUGAUGAAUGURAUAGAUUAGAAAUAUAUUUUUGUUUAUAAAUGAAAGWGUAAGCAUUCCACCUCWAGAGUAAWGKGGYCASGCRGGAACKGAAAUCAUUAGACCGUUU